UACGGAGGGUGCAAGCGUUAUCCGGAUUUACUGGGUUUAAAGGGUGUGUAGGCGGGCUUUUAAGUCAGUGGUGAAAUCUCCGGGCUCAACUUGGAAACUGCCAUUGAUACUAUUAGUCUUGAAUUUUGUUGAGGUAGGCGGAAUAAGUCAUGUAGCGGUGAAAUGCAUAGAUAUGACUUAGAACACCAAUUGCGAAGGCAGCUUGCUAAACAAAUAUUGACGCUGAGGCACGAAAGCGUGGGGAUCAAACAGG
rnacentral:rRNA from 1 species